rnacentral:tRNA from 1 species
GGACCCGUAGCCUAGUCUGGAAGGGCGGCAUGCUUCGGACGUGCAGAUCGGGGGUUCGAAUCCCUCCGGGUCCG